rnacentral:rRNA from 1 species
GACGAACCGUGCGAACGUUGUUCGGAAUCACUGGGCUUAAAGGGCGCGUAGGCGGGCGAUCAAGUCCGGGGUGAAAUCCUCCAGCUUAACUGGAGAACUGCCUCGGAUACUGAUUGUCUCGAGGGGGAUAGGGGCAUGCGGAACUACGGGUGGAGCGGUGAAAUGCGUUGAUAUCAACUGGAACUCCGGUGGCGAAGGCGGCACGCUGGACCUUUUCUGACGCUGAGGCGCGAAAGCCAGGGGAGCAAACGGG